CUUGACUUAAAUCCAACAGGUAGAAUACAUUAUGGUACAGAUGUAGUAUUGCUCUUAAAUCCAACAGGUAGAAGACAUUAUGGUACAGAUGUAUUCUGAGUCUUGUCAUAGGCAUGUAUGAUCCCGUCCGG